ensembl:rRNA 5S_rRNA 5S ribosomal RNA
GCUUACGGCCACACCGCCUGGUUCACGCUUGAUCUCGGAAGCUAAGAUAGGUUGGGCCUGGUUAGUACUUGGAUGGGAGACCGUCUGGGAAUACCAGGUGCUGUAAGCU